UUAUUUUGGCAGAUUAGUGUAUUUGAUUUAGAAUCAUUUUAAGUAAUUAUAUUACAAGUAAUAU
rnacentral:tRNA from 1 species